UUGCAGGGUAGGGAUGGGAUUUCACAUCCGAAGGGAUCAGAUCUGAUCUGAGGAGUCAAAUACUCCUAUGCGUCUCUCUCUCUUUGCGGCAGGGCGUGUGUGUGGUUUGAGGAGAAGGAAUCUGAUGGAGCGGGAAAUUUGCAGAGGGAAGGUGAACUAUAUGUGGAAAACCUCUCUGCAAAAGAGAGAUAAGGAGGUAGGGAUGCAGAGAGGUGCUCCAGGGACCCGUAUGCCGCCGGGUCACCGGAUCUGCACCCCGCCGUCUUCCGUCUCCGCCUUCCGUUUCUGCACCGUAAUGAUGCUGCUUGCCGAUUUGACUGCGAAUAGGAGUAGAUUUGACUGCCCGAUUGAUUGAUAGAUCCAUUGUUUACCACAGAAACAAUAAUAAUACUCUACUACUACUCCUACAUAGUAGGAGUACCUUGCCUAUUGUAUGAUACUAGAAGUAGUAAAUUGAUGGUACAGGAUAAUACAGACUUAUAAAUUUCUUAUUAGGGCGAUGGUACAGGAUACUACUGGGAGUAGACUUUAUAAUUUUUGGCUGUGCA